rnacentral:rRNA from 1 species
GACGAACGCUGGCGGCGUGCUUAACACAUGCAAGUCGAACGGAAAGACCCUGCUUUUGUUGGGUUCUCGAUUGGCGAACGGGUGAGUAACACGUGAGUAAACUGCCCUUGACUUUGGGAUAACUUCAGGAAACUGGGGCUAAUACAGCAUAGGAGCUCCUGCUGCAUGGUGGUGGAUGGAAAGUUUCGGCGGUUGGGGAUGGACUCGCGGGUUAUCAGCUUGUUGGGGGGGUAGUGGCUUACAAAGGGUUUGACGGGUAGCCGGCAUGAGAGGGUGACCGGCGACAAUGGGACUGCGGUACGGCCCAGACUGCUAUGGGAGGCAGUGGUGGGGAGCAUUGCAGAACGGGGGGAAGUGUGAUGCGGCAACGCCGGGUGCGGGAUGACGGCCUUCUGGUUGUAAACAGAUUUCGCCUGUGACGAAGAGUGAGUGACGGUAAUGGGUAAAGAAGCAACGGCUAACUACGUG